rnacentral:rRNA from 1 species
AAAUUGAAGAGUUUGAUCAUGGCUCAGAUUGAACGCUGGCGGCAGGCCUAACACAUGCAAGUCGAACGGUAACAGGAAGCAGCUUGCUGCUUCGCUGACGAGUGGCGGACGGGUGAGUAAUGUCUGGGAAACUGCCUGAUGGAGGGGGAUAACUACUGGAAACGGUGGCUAAUACCGCAUAACGUCGCAAGACCAAAGAGGGGGACCUUCGGGCCUCUUGCCAUCAGAUGUGCCCAGAUGGGAUUAGCUUGUUGGUGAGGUAACGGCUCACCAAGGCGACGAUCCCUAGCUGGUCUGAGAGGAUGACCAGCCACACUGGAACUGAGACACGGUCCAGACUCCUACGGGAGGCAGCAGUGGGGAAUAUUGCACAAUGGGCGCAAGCCUGAUGCAGCCAUGCCGCGUGUAUGAAGAAGGCCUUCGGGUUGUAAAGUACUUUCAGCGGGGAGGAAGGUGUUGUGGUUAAUAACCGCAGCAAUUGACGUUACCCGCAGAAGAAGCACCGGCUAACUCCGUGCCAGCAGCCGCGGUAAUACGGAGGGUGCAAGCGUUAAUCGGAAUUACUGGGCGUAAAGCGCACGCAGGCGGUCUGUCAAGUCGGAUGUGAAAUCCCCGGGCUCAACCUGGGAACUGCAUUCGAAACUGGCAGGCUUGAGUCUUGUAGAGGGGGGUAGAAUUCCAGGUGUAGCGGUGAAAUGCGUAGAGAUCUGGAGGAAUACCGGUGGCGAAGGCGGCCCCCUGGACAAAGACUGACGCUCAGGUGCGAAAGCGUGGGGAGCAAACAGGAUUAGAUACCCUGGUAGUCCACGCCGUAAACGAUGUCUACUUGGAGGUUGUGCCCUUGAGGCGUGGCUUCCGGAGCUAACGCGUUAAGUAGACCGCCUGGGGAGUACGGCCGCAAGGUUAAAACUCAAAUGAAUUGACGGGGGCCCGCACAAGCGGUGGAGCAUGUGGUUUAAUUCGAUGCAACGCGAAGAACCUUACCUGGUCUUGACAUCCACGGAAGUUUUCAGAGAUGAGAAUGUGCCUUCGGGAACCGUGAGACAGGUGCUGCAUGGCUGUCGUCAGCUCGUGUUGUGAAAUGUUGGGUUAAGUCCCGCAACGAGCGCAACCCUUAUCCUUUGUUGCCAGCGGUUAGGCCGGGAACUCAAAGGAGACUGCCAGUGAUAAACUGGAGGAAGGUGGGGAUGACGUCAAGUCAUCAUGGCCCUUACGACCAGGGCUACACACGUGCUACAAUGGCGCAUACAAAGAGAAGCGACCUCGCGAGAGCAAGCGGACCUCAUAAAGUGCGUCGUAGUCCGGAUUGGAGUCUGCAACUCGACUCCAUGAAGUCGGAAUCGCUAGUAAUCGUGGAUCAGAAUGCCACGGUGAAUACGUUCCCGGGCCUUGUACACACCGCCCGUCACACCAUGGGAGUGGGUUGCAAAAGAAGUAGGUAGCUUAACCUUCGGGAGGGCGCUUACCACUUUGUGAUUCAUGACUGGGGUGAAGUCGUAACAAGGUAACCGUAGGGGAACCUGCGGUUGGAUCACCUCCUUACCU